rnacentral:rRNA from 1 species
AUGAACGCUGGCGGCGUGCCUAAUACCUGCAAGUCGAGCGAACGGACGAGAAGCUUGCUUCUCUGAUGUUAGCGGCGGACGGGUGAGUAACACGUGGAUAACCUACCUAUAAGACUGGGAUAACUUCGGGAAACCGUAGCUAAUACCGGAUAAUAUUUUGAACCGCAUGGUUCAAAAGUGAAAGACGGUCUUGCUGUCACUUAUAGAUGGAUCCGCGCUGCAUUAGCUAGUUGGUAAGGUAACGGCUUACCAAGGCAACGAUGCAUAGCCGACCUGAGAGGGUGAUCUGCCACACUGGAACUGAGACACGGUCCAGACUCCUACGGGAGGCAGCAGUAGGGAAUCUUCCGCAAUGGGCGAAAGCCUGACGGAGCAACGCCGCGUGAGUGAUGAAGGUCUUCGGAUCGUAAAACUCUGUUAUUAGGGAAGAACAUAUGUGUAAGUAACUGUGCACAUCUUGACGGUACCUAAUCAGAAAGCCACGGCUAACUACGUG